UGCUGUUAAUGAUGUUUUAUAUAAAUGGGAAUCUCUCUGAAUAAGAGUGAAGAGCUUUUUUUUUUUAUAUACUGAAACAGAA
ensembl:snoRNA SNORD79 Small nucleolar RNA SNORD79